rnacentral:lncRNA from 10 species
CAGCAGCGAACAAUUAAUAUGCAACAGUCUCAAGUAGAAAAAUACAAAACUCUUUUCGAAGAAGCAAACAAAAAGUAUGAUGGAUUACAGCAACAGUUGUCUUCAGUAGAAAGGGAAUUAGAAAAUAAAAGAAGACUGCAAAAACAGGCUGCAAGUAGUCAAAGUGCCACAGAGGUUCGCUUGAAUAGAGCUCUAGAAGAAGCAGAAAAGUAUAAACUGGAGUUAAGUAAAUUAAGGCAAAAUAACAAGAUGCAUAUUGAAGCUGCCAAGAUGCUAUCUUUCACUGAGGAGGAAUUUAUGAAAGCACUUGAAUGGGGAAAUUCAUAAGUGAUCUACUUCAGUUAGUCUCUAUGACAGUAUGUGAUGGAUACCCAUUUUACUUAUUGUAGUGGUUUGAAUUAUUUUUAUUCUUCAUAAGUAAUAUAUUUGAUUAUGAAAGCAAAAUAAUUUCAAAGAAUUCCCUUUUUAGAUUUAGGAGAUUAGCUAUUAGCUCUUUUUGAGUUGUUUUUUAAGUUCUUAGCGUGACAAUUAAGCACAUCAGAUAAUAAAAUUCUUGACUCUUUUCAUUUAUAAUUCUCCUCCCUUACAGUAGACCAAAAAAGAUGCUUUAAAAGAAAAUUCCAAAUAUUUAUUUCCCUGGCUAAAUCAAGUAAGUAAAGUUCGUAAACACAGACAGAAGGCAGUUCACUUUGGGGUAGAGUUCUGUAUUAGUCAAGGUAAAUAUACUGUCUUGAGGAUGGGGAUGCAAACAGUGCUCUGUAGUGUUGUAGAAAUCGGAUUUUGAAAUUAUCAGUACAAAAAUAACAGCUUGAUUAAAAUUAAUUUGUAUCUGAUAAUUGUUUACAAGUUAUGAAAUUCAGUGAUGAUUUACAAAAUCCAAACAGACAAUGGAUACCUAAUGCCACUGAACUGUAAAACAAAAGUUAUGCUGACAUCUAGUGGUAACAUGCAAAAAAUCUAUGCUUUACCCAAUUUUGAUGAUAUCAUUUCUCUUCACAAAUUUCACUCCUUUGUUGAUAUACUUUCCUGAACUCUUCACCAAGCAGAUCAAUAUCAUCCUCUUUUUUAAAUACUCCCUACGAGAAAAAUACUUUGUGGGUUACUUUUGAAUACCAGAAUAUUUCACUAAAUGCUUUUAAGACUGACAGACAUAAGAUUAGUAAAGUUAUCUCCAAGGUAAUGAAAUCUAUUCAACAGAUUAAUGAAACUUUAAAAAAAUCAAUACUUUUCAAAAAAUAAGACUUUACAUAUAUAUUGAAUAUUCCUAGACUGACCCAAUUUUCUGAUUUAUCAGCUCUAGUGUAGGAGCUUUUCAUAGGAAUCUGAGCUCUUCUACAAGUUCUACUGCUUGGAUUACCUAGAUAGGAAGGCACUUCAUCUAUACUGUACCCUACCCUUUUCUUUAAAUAGCUCUAUAAUAUGAUAUAAUGGUGAGCUUCAGUAGAUUCAUGCAUGGGAUUAGUUCUUCAUGCCUCAGUUCUAUGGCUAAUCAGCAAACAGUCAAUCUUGCAGAAAAGAAUCCAGGUUUGGAGUUAAGCCAUUUAAGCAAACCCUUUGGAAUUCUUCACUGUUCUAUUUUUCUUUUCCCCUACAGUAUACUGCAAAAGGCUCUUUAAAACAAAAUUAAAUAUUUACUUAAAUUGCAAUCUAAAGAAUAAAGAAUUUUAGGGAUAACUGAAGUCAUUUGGCACCAUUAGGACCUAAAGGAUAAAGGUCAUUUUUGGAUAUCAAGUUUAUUAAUCCCUCCUGCUGCCUCCACAAUUAUUUCCUCUACAAAAAUAUCAAAUCCCAAAGAAAGACAUUCCUACAAUUUAUAAUUUAGUUUAUGAAAUGUAUUAAUUACAUAUGGAUUUUAUCAUUAAUACAUCAUUUUGUAUUCCUUAAUCCUUUCUAACCAAUUAGACUAUCAAGUCCUGUGGCCAGGCAGUAAUUACCUAUAUAUCUUUUUCCUUCCUUAGCACCAGAGUGAAUAUAAUAAAAUAAAUAUGCACUUGAUUCUACUGAA